AUAUACGACCGUACCGCAAACCGACACUGGUGCGCGAGAUGAGUAUUCUAAGGCGCUUGAGAGAACUCAGGAGAAGGAACUCGGCAAAUUGACACCGUAACUUCGGAAGAAGGUGUGCCCUAUUAGUGUGUAGUGAACAACGAAGCAUGAAUGGGUUGCAAAAAAUCGGUGGCUGCGACUGUUUAUUAAAAACACAGCACUCUGCAAACACGAAAGUGGACGUAUAGGGUGUGACGCCUGCCCGGUGCUGGAAGAUUAAAUGAUGGGGUGCAAGCUCUUGAUUGAAGUCCCAGUAAACGGCGGCCGUAACAAUAACGGUCCUAAGGUAGCGAAAUUCCUUGUCGGGUAAGUUCCGACCUGCACGAAUGGCGUAACGAUGGCCACACUGUCUCCUCCUGAGACUCAGCGAAGUUGAAAUGUUUGUGAUGAUGCAAUCUCCCCGCGGAAAGACGGAAAGACCCCAUGAACCUUUACUGUAGCUUUGUAUUGGACUUUGAACAGAUCUGUGUAGGAUAGGUGGGAGGCUUUGAAGCAGGGUCGCUAGAUCUUGUGGAGCCAACGUUGAAAUACCACCCUGGUGUUUGAGGUUCUAACCUAGGUCCAUUAUCUGGAUCGGGGACAGUGCAUGGUAUGCAGUUUGACUGGGGCGGUCUCCUCCCAAAGCGUAACGGAGGAGUUCGAAGGUACGCUAGUUACGGUCGGACAUCGUGACGAUAGUGCAAUGGCAUAAGCGUGCUUAACUGCGAGACUGACAAGUCGAGCAGAUGCGAAAGCAGGACAUAGUGAUCCGGUGGUUCUGUAUGGAAGGGCCAUCGCUCAACGGAUAAAAGGUACUCUGGGGAUAACAGGCUGAUACCGCCCAAGAGUUCAUAUCGACGGCGGUGUUUGGCACCUCGAUGUCGGCUCAUCUCAUCCUGGGGCUGUAGCCGGUCCCAAGGGUAUGGCUGUUCGCCAUUUAAAGAGGUACGUGAGCUGGGUUUAAAACGUCGUGAGACAGUUUGGUCCCUAUCUUCCGUGGGCGCUGCAGAUUUGAGGAAGCAUGCUCCUAGUACGAGAGGACCGGAGUGGACACACCUCUGGUGUAUCGGUUGUCACGCCAGUGGCAUUGCCGAGUAGCUAAGUGUGGAAGAGAUAACCGCUGAAAGCAUCUAAGCGGGAAACUCGUUUCAAGAUGAGAUCUGCCGGGGCCUUGAGCCCCCUAAAGAGUCGUUCAAGACCAGGACGUUGAUAGGUCAGGUGUGGAAGCGAAAAAAAU
rnacentral:rRNA from 1 species